CCUUUUUAUUUUAUUGUUUUCUCUUUCCAUUUGUCACACAAACUCCCUCACUAUCUCACUAUCUCAUCUUCCGGCGAAAUUCCGACUACAAAAUGUCAACCGCCGACGAGUUUUCACGAUCAGUCGAUAUGGGUCUCAGGCUCUCCAAACGUAUAUACUACGGCAAAGACGGACCUGCCACGUCAGCUCCAAAACCACCAUCAAUGGAGAAAUCAUUAUCAUCAUCUUCCUCAGCUUCAUCACUCCGGUUACCGUAUAAUCAUCAUCCAACGGCACCGAUGGUAUACGCCGUUAUAACGGAGCCCGGUGUUGUGGAUAACCCGGAUAUCCGGAGCUACCAACCGUAUGUUUAUGGACGGUGUAAUCCACCGGCGUUGAUUCCGUUGCAUAUGAUCGGAGUCGUGUUGAAGGUGGAGUGUUAUUUGGAUACCGCGGUUGUUACGGUUGACGGCGUUUGGCGCGUUCAUUGCUUAACGUCAAGUGCAUUAUGUGAUUGUCGCGUUGUGGUUCCGAUGGGUGAGCAGGGUUCACUUCUAGGUGUUGAGGUUGAGACCACUAGAAGAUCAUAUUUUACGCGGUUGAUAACAUCUGAAGACCAACAAGACAUGAAUGGCCAAGAAACCACAAAAGAUGGCUUCUUAAUGAAAGGCAAUACAUACACUUUUCAAGUCUUUCAGGUUGAAGGAGGAUCUAAUAUCCAUGUUAAAGCAAGAUGGGCACAGAAAAUGUCGUAUCAAGGCGAUGGUUUUUGUUUGUGCGUGCCGUUCACUUAUCCUGUUCACGUAUUUCCUGUGUCGAAGAAAGUAUCGUGUACAGAAAAAAUACUUCUAGAUGUGAAUUCUGGUACAUAUGGCGCGAUUACAUGCAACAUUGCUAGCCAUCCUUUAAAGGAAGUAAAACGACGAGCUGGGCAAUUAAGCUUCUCGUAUGAGGCUGAGGUUCUCAAGUGGUCUACUCAAGAUUUCUAUUUUUCUUAUUCGGUAUGCGCAAAUGAGAUAUUCGGUGGUUUGCUCGUGCAACCUCCAUCUCUAAAUGAUUAUGAUCAGAGAGAUAUGUUUUGCUUUUAUCUUUUUCCAGGGGUUAACCAAAGCAUGAAGGCUUUUAAAAAGGAAGUUGUGUUUAUAAUCGACAUUAGUGGCAGCAUGAGAGACGAGCCGCUUGAGAAAACAAAAUAUGAAGUCGUAGGAUCUCUUUGGAAGCUAAACCAAGGAGAUAUGUUCAACAUUUUAGCUUCGAAUGGUGAAAUUAAGUCGUUUUCUUCUUCGUUGGAGUUUGCGACAGAAGAAACGGUUACUAAUGCAACUGAAUGGAUGAACGCAAAUCUUAUUGCUCAUGGAGGCACCAACCUCAUGCUUCCUUUAAAACAGGCAGUUGACAUGGUUGGUAAAGCCAGUGAUUCCAUUCCUCUCGUUUUUCUCAUAACCGACGGGGCUGUUGAAGACGAAAGAGAUAUAUGUAAUACGAUGAAAUGUCGCAUUGGGAACGGACAGUUAAAUUCUCCUAGAAUUCACACAUUUGGCAUAGGUUCAUAUUGCAAUCAUUAUUUCUUGCAAAUGCUUGCAAAUAUAGGAAGGGGAUACUUUGAUUCUGCACUGGAUGUAGAUUCAAUCAGCAUCCGUAUGCAAAAACUGUUUGAUAAUGCCACAGCACCUUUGCUUUCAAAUGUAACCCUUGAUGCUUUACAAAAUCUCGAGUCACACGAGAUAUUCCCGUUUCGUCUUCCAGACUUAUUAUCUGGAAGACCGUUAAUCGUGUCAGGCAGAUUCAAAGGGGAAUUUCCUGACAUUGUUAAAGCUAGAGGUUUGUUGGCGGAUUUUAACACACGUGUGAUUGAUGUCAAAGUAAUGAAGGCGAAUGACAUGCCUUUAGAAAUGGGAUGAAAAUGGCACCUUAGGGACGAAAGUCGCAAAAAGUGAUCAAACCUCAGGGACGAAAAUGACAUUUUACUCUUUGGAAGACGAUCCAUAUGUCUAAACCACAUGCCUUACAAUAUGUCAAAACACAUGCCAAAAUCAAAGGAAUAAAUGAGAGAGGAAAUGGUAUGCGCGAGGAGGGAAAUUGCUACACUCACUGCACAAGCAUGGUUAGACCAAAACACAGAACUAGAGCAAAAGGUUGCAAAAAUGAGCUUACAAAGAGGGAUUCCUUCUGAAUAUACGCUCAUGAUUCUAGUUCAACAUGAGAACGUAAAACCAGCCAUCGAAUCCGUUUCACCAGAAGAGAAGUAUACGAAGUCGAAGAAUCAGAAGAUAACAUACAUGACGAAUCUAAACGUUGGAUUUGGAAAUUUAAUCGCAACGAUUGAGAAUUUACCUCCGGGAAUCCAAGAAUUGAAAUUAAGCGAGCCAGGAACAAUGAUGAAGGCGGCUUCAUCUUGCUGGACGAUGUUUGUCGAUCGAUUUUGUUGCAGGUGUUUUAUUCAAACAUGCGCUCACAUGAAUGACCAAUGCGCGGUUGUUUUGACGCAACUAUGCGCUGCCCUUGCUUGCUUUCAAUGCCUGAGCUGCUGCUGUGACAUGUGUGAUUCAUGUGCAGAAUUGUGCUUAGAUUGCCUUUAAAGUUUUAUAAAAAUAUAACAUAUUUAUGCAA